GCCCCCGUAGCUCAGCGGAUAGAGCGGCGGCCUCCGGAGCCGUAGACAGGCGUUCGAUUCGCCUCGGGGGUACCG
rnacentral:tRNA from 1 species